rnacentral:rRNA from 1 species
UGUGGUCACACCGUCCUGAAAAAGCCUGGUGCCGUCUGGCCUUGGAAGCUGAGCAGGGUUGGGCCUGGUUGGUACUUGGAUGGCAGGAGGACAGAAAGAACCCAGAU